rnacentral:misc_RNA from 1 species
GAUGAAGAACGUAGCGAAAUGCGAUAAGUAAUGUGAAUUGCAGAAUUCAGUGAAUCAUUGAAUCUUUGAACGCACAUUGCGCCCCCUGGAAUUCCGGGGGGCAUGCCUGUUCGAGCGUCUCAGGGACGAACCCUCGCGCGGGUGUACGCGCGGUCGUGGCUGCGGUGGCGUGCCCGAGGCGGCGGCCACCGCGCUGGAAUCCAUGGGCGGACGCCUGCCGCGUGGCCGAGCGUGAUAUGACGCAUUGGCGCUCGCACGCGGCGAGGCUGCCAGCCCUGGCCCGUCUGUCGGGCGGGGGAGAGCAAGACACGUGAACUCCUCGAAUCAGGUAGGGAUACCCGCUGAACUUAAGCAUAUCAAUAAGCGGAGGA